rnacentral:rRNA from 1 species
AGCGAACGCUGGCGGCAGGCCUAACACAUGCAAGUCGAACGAAGUCUUCGGACUUAGUGGCGGACGGGUGAGUAACACGUGGGAACGUACCUUUUGGUUCGGAACAACUCAGGGAAACUUGAGCUAAUACCGGAUGAGCCCUUAGGGGGAAAGAUUUAUCGCCGAAAGAGCGGCCCGCGUUGGAUUAGCUAGUUGGUGAGGUAAAGGCUCACCAAGGCUACGAUCUAUAGCUGGUCUGAGAGGAUGAUCAGCCACACUGGGACUGAGACACGGCCCAGACUCCUACGGGAGGCAGCAGUGGGGAAUCUUGCGCAAUGGGCGAAAGCCUUACGCAGCCAUGCCGCGUGAAUGAUGAAGGUCUUAGGAUUGUAAAAUUCUUUUACCAGGGACGAUAAUGACGGUACCUGGAGAAAAAGCCCCGGCUAACUUCGUGCCAGCCGCCGCUGUAAAAC